CGACGCCAGGUAAUGGGUUGGGAUCCUCCCUGGGGCUGUGGGUAUGUCAACGCGUCCCUAACCUUACCGAUGCCAAGUGCUAGGAAAUGACUGAAAAUAAAGAACCUUCCCAACCCGGUUUAGUCUCCCACGGCGGUGGAUCUUCUUGGGAGGAGGACUUUACUUGUGUCAUCAGGGGUAGGAAUUAAACACUGCCUCUGACUCACUCUGCUUCAUGACCACGUUAUUUAGUACAAUGACAAGUCAAUAAAUAAUUCUUAGGAAGAGAUUUGUAGAAUAAUACAUGCUUAUGUAAGAAUAUUUUAACUACCUGAAGGUGGGAAAUUUUAUCAAAAUAUUAUUUUAAAUUGAGAUUAAUGUUUAUUCUAUUGUUGAUCAUAGUGUAUAGUUUAUAUUUUUUCCAUUUUCGAUGGAAAUUGUCCAUCAAAACUUUCCCACCUCGCAUGCAAACAUGGAAUUCAGACAAUAUUCGUCCGAAAACCAUGUGCCUAAAGUGGGACAAAUAAUCAAAAUUGUCCCCAAAGUGAUUUAGAAAGUGAACAUAGGACUUAUAUAUCGUGCAAAGACCAUAAUAAAUAAAUAUAUUAUCGUACUUCAUAUUUCGAGACCCAUUAAUCCCUGAUCGAGAGACAUUAGUCAGGUCUCUGCUGAGAAUUUUUGAAAUAAAAAGCCAGAGGGGCUGAAAAUGGAUACAUUUAAAAUAAUGACUAGAUUUUAUAUCUUUAAAUGGACAAAAGGGGCAAUCCCUACCCUCAUGUAUGCCCAUUGACUCAGCCAUUUUUGGCGUUAGACCAGUAUUGUGCAAAAGUUUAUAAAUUACGUCUUUCUCUGGAUUACUCACCUCGCUUUUUUGAAGGGUAAGCCAGGCGGAAUUAUUUAAGGUGUCGAGUGAUACCUCAGACCAUUUUAUUUUUCGCACAAUACGAGUACAUAGUAAAUACUGCUUGGUUUUCACAAAAGAUUCAAACUCACCCCCGUUGCCGUAUUUUAGGCAUCGAAAUGUGAUACACUCUUGAGAUAGUACAUAAGUGUCAAUAAUAUUACGCAAAAUACUACUCUCACAAGAAAUUAACCUUUGAGAUGGAAAGCGAGGCAUGUUUUGGGAAAAAUCGAAUCUAAUAAAAUCCCCAAUGGUUUCACACCCCAAUUGAAUUAAACAUGGAAAACUAUUAUUUUUCAAAAAAAUUGAAUUACUAAGCGGGAUAAGGUGAAAAAUAUUGUGAGGGAUUAGUUCAAAACUGAGACCAAGUAUUUGUACAUAUUUGCAAAAAUUGUCAUAAAAAGAAGUACAAUAAUCUGGUUCAUUCUUUAGGAGAAUGUUGAAAACAUUUUUACGUGCAAAGUUACAAAAAUACGAGUCGCUCGAAUUUAGGACUUUGCAUGCAAA